CUGCGCAAGAGGGGGAGGAGAGAUUCAAAUUAGCUAGUGACCUCGAUCCACUUCAUGAGGCAUGAUCCCCAAUCUCCUUGCAAACAAAGGUCACACGAAUCCAUUGUCGCCACUAUCGCCUGUGCAAUCGUUGAAGCACGUAGUGUAGCAACUAGCAAGCCUGGUCCACUUUCAUCUUGGCUUCUCCAACCUCCAUGGAUGCUAGCAAAACGAUAAUGGUGAGAUAAAGCAAUGUCGCAAUCUUGCAUGAACCCAUUUUUUUUCCUUUCUUUUUGUUUUAAUUAUUACUGCCGUAAAUGGAAGAAAUUGGGAGAUGUAGUCAACUUGUUUGUGUUUUA